rnacentral:misc_RNA from 1 species
AGACCAUAAGGCUUUGCCUUGCGUUGAUUUAUUGGAGUGAUCCAAUAAUCAAAACUCGUUGGCGUCGUAGUUUGACCAAGACACAGCACAAUGUGAAACUAAGUUGAACUAAAGAUUAGCCAGUCCAAACUGUUUCUCACGAAACGUAG